rnacentral:tRNA from 1 species
UGGAUAUAGCUCAGUGGAAGAGUGUUUGCCUAGUAUGCAUGAGGCCCUGGGUUCAAUCCCCAAUAGUGCAA